CCAUAUGGCUAGAGACCAUGUAUGUGUGCAGUCAAACUACAAUAACCUCACUGUGAGUAGCCGAAGCACCGCAGGUCAAAGGACCAGUUACACUACUGCAACAUCAAGCAAGUCACUGACGAGUGGAUAGACAUCCAAGUGACUUCUUGUCUUGGUCACGCUCAGUACCCUUGUUCUCUAACAAGCACCUGCAUUAUCACUUCAGUGUCCCUACACUGUGGACUC
rnacentral:lncRNA from 1 species